rnacentral:siRNA from 1 species
UCCUUCUCUUCAGGUUGAUGUGCA